rnacentral:rRNA from 1 species
AGUGAACGCUGGCGGUAGGCCUAACACAUGCAAGUCGAACGGCAGCACAGUAAGAGCUUGCUCUUACGGGUGGCGAGUGGCGGACGGGUGAGGAAUACAUCGGAAUCUACUUUUUCGUGGGGGAUAACGUAGGGAAACUUACGCUAAUACCGCAUACGACCUACGGGUGAAAGCAGGGGAUCUUCGGACCUUGCGCGAUUGAAUGAGCCGAUGUCGGAUUAGCUAGUUGGCGGGGUAAAGGCCCACCAAGGCAACGAUCCGUAGCUGGUCUGAGAGGAUGAUCAGCCACACUGGAACUGAGACACGGUCCAGACUCCUACGGGAGGCAGCAGUGGGGAAUAUUCGACAAUGGGCGCAAGCCUGAUCCAGCCAUACCGCGUGGGUGAAGAAGGCCUUCGGGUCGUAAAGCCCUUUUGUUGGGAAAGAAAAGCAGCAGAUUAAAACCCCGCUGUUCUGACGGUACCCAAACAAUAAGCACCGGCUAACUUCGUG